GCGACCAUAUCACGUUGGAAAAGCCGGUUCUCGUCUGAUCACCGAAGUUAAGCAACGUCGGGCCCGGUUAGUACUUGCAUGGGUGACCGGCUGGGACUACCGGGUGUUGCGGCC
rnacentral:rRNA from 1 species